CUACUUCUAACAACCCAUUUUGGACUUGCACCUAUAUCUAUUUCAUUUAUGCUGAAAGUUUAUUAUCAUCCUCUUAGUGUCACCAUAAUCCUACACUGGGACAAAUUUUGAUAUUCAUUAAAAUUUUGCUAUAAUUCAAACUACAAAUGGCCUGAUUUCUUGUGAAGCCUGAGAUACUUAGGCAACUCAAAAAUUGGAGCCCGGCCAUAAUCUUCCAAACAUUUUAUUUUGCCUGAGACAAAAUUGGUUACGUCAACGUGAGUGCCAAAGAUUUUCACACAAAU
rnacentral:lncRNA from 1 species